UCUUAAGCUGCGUUACGUUUGGUGCCACAGACACUCCGAUCAGCGAUCCCAUAGAAAGAGGGAGCAGAUACUGCGAAUAAAACAUCCAUGCACACACGCUUUGUCUAGUGUUGGUUACGUUACAAGAUCUGAUAUUUCUUGCUUCGGUGAAGUGCCAAGAGUUAGAGGCCACUCCCGGGACUUAGAUCGGCGUUAGUGGGAAACGUGGACGUUUCUAAGGAAGAGUUAAACAAUUUUUGGAAGAAGAUUGGCUUGGGUAGAGCAGCAAUACCUAAGCACGCAAUCCGGUACCCUGUCAGGACCCGGCGAAAAGACUGGCUUCACAUUCUGGAGAACCAUCAGAAUCAUAAAGAUUCCACAUUCCGACUAGGUGAGACGAGAAAUGAGAUUGGACCGGGGGAUAUCAUAAGCGCGUAUUUCGUUUGUUCCAGCACGAAAUGUGCUCCGAUGAGGACGAUGUCAAUCCCGAGACUGUAACUUCAAGCGGCCCUGCUUAGGACACGGCUGAUGAACACUGUGAAACAGGAUCACAGUAUGUAGAUUAACGGAUUUGUACUUUGGAUGGAUUCCAAGACCGUGCUGCACUGGAUAAGCAGCGCUCACCAGCGAUACAAGCAGUUUGUUGGAAAUGUGGUGGCAGAUAUCCUGGAGUCGACAGAAGUAUCCCAAUGGAGAUGGGUACCUACUGCCAAAAACGUGCCACCCAAAGCAACCGGGCCGCAACGCCAUGUUGACCUAAGUCAAGGGUCACGAUGGUUAUGCGGACCGGCGUUCCUACGAAAAUCGGAAGAGAAUUGGCCGAAGAGUUCCUCGAGAAGUAGUUGGUGCACGGAAGCAAGCUGAAUGGCUGUUACAUGCAGCUCAUACGCCAAGGAAUCCGACUAAGGUGAUAUACAUGAACAGCUAAUAUACAAAUUGAUCUGAGAGAAUAUGAUUUAUACGGAAAUGAAUUCUAAGUCUCCAGUUUGAAGAUAAACGACCUCGGAAACGAGUUUAGAUCCACAGAAAUUAGGACUUUACCACCAUUUCCGAGAAAUCAGUCAAACCUAUACGUUGUGUACCUACUAGGGAAAACUUUAGAAUUAAGAAUUUCUGAAGCUAGCUAGGUUUCAUUAAAAACAAUGGCCUGCGAUACAAACGAGGAACUGACCGAAAACAAUUUAUAAACGUUAGUGGUUAGUUUUUGACUUGGUAAACGCAGCUGCCCACAUCCCACAGUGGGAGCGUAACUCUCAACGGGCAUCUUUGGUUUAUUUUUAUUCCGUCGAACGUAAAUGUGUUUCCGUGGUGGAAUACCAAUCAUUGGCUUCGGCGGGUCGGGUGGUAUAACCCCGCUACCAGUGGGUGCCAGUAAUCCGGACCUUGAGU